GAUGAACGCUGACAGAAUGCUUAACACAGAAUAACUGAUUGGGUGGCGGACGGGUGAGUAACGCGUAAAGAAAUUGCCUCACAGGUAGGGACAACAUUUGGAAACGAUUGCUAAUACCUAAUACUGUGAGAGAGCUUUGCGUCUCAUUAGCUAGUUGGAGAGGUAACGGCUCACCAAGGCGAUGAGGGGUAGCCGGCCUGAGAGGGUGAUCGGCCACAAGGGGACGGAGAAGCGGCCCUUACUCCUACGGGGGGAAGCAGGUGGGAAUAAUGGACAAUGGACGAAGGUCUGAUCCAGCAAUUCUGUGUGGACGAUGAAGUUUUCGGAAUGUAAAGUGAUUUCAUUUGCGGAGCGGUACCAACAAAAGAAGUGACGGCUAAAUACGUGCCAGCAGCCGCGGUAAUUC
rnacentral:rRNA from 1 species